CUGAUGUUCAUAUGAUGAAAUCAUAAUCUUUCAGUCAGUUUAGUUGAAGUCUGGAGCUGGCAUGUCAGUUAACUGCUAGUAGUCUGUUGUUAUUUAUGUAUUAUUGUCAUUUUAUUUAUUUUCUUUGGUUACAUCUUCUGACAUCAGACUCGGAUUUCUCUUGAACUGAAUUUUAAUGUGCGUAUUGUUAUGCGUUUACUUUACUACAUUGGUUAGAGGUAUAGGGGGAGGGUUGAGAUCUCACAAACAUGUUUAACCCCGCCGCAUUUUUGCGCCUGUCCCAAGUCAGGAGCCUCCGGCCUUUGUUAGUCUUGAAUUAUUUUAAUUUUAGUUUCUUGUGUACAAUUUGGAAAUUAGUAUGGCGUUCAUUAUCACUGGACUAGUAUAUAUUUGUUUAGGG
rnacentral:lncRNA from 1 species